UGAGGAUCGCGUGAGCAGAAACACACAGAUAAUCACAGAAUCACUGACGGGGCAGCUCUGAGGAUCACGUGAGCAGAAACACACAGAUAAUCACAGAAUCACUGACGGGGCUGCUGUGAGGAUCCCGUGAGCAGAAACACACAGAUAAUCACAGAAUCACUGACGAGGCCUCUGUGAGGAUCCCGUGAGCAGAAACAUGGAUGAUCGCGGCCUGACUGGCGGGGCUGCUGUGAGGAUCAUAUGACCAGAAACACGUGGAAGAUCAUGGCUCACUGACGGGGCUGCUGUGACUAUUGCGUGAGCAGAAACACGAUGAUCAUGGCUCACUGAAUGGGCAGCUCUGAGGAUCGCGUGAGCAGAAACAUGGAUGAUCAUGGCUCACUGACAGGGAGGUCUGAGGAUUGCGUGAGCAGAAACACAGAUAAUCACAGAAUCACUGAGGGGGCCACUGUGAGGAUCGCAUGAGCAGAAACACACAGAUGAUCACGGCUCACUAAUGGGGCCGCUGCGAGAAUCGCGUGAGCAGAAACACGGAUGAUCAUGGCUCACUGACGGGGCAACUCUGAGGAUCACGUGAGCAGAAACACACAAAUAAUCACAGAAUCACUGACGGGGCCACUGUGAGGAUCGCGUGAGCAGAAACACACAGAUAACCAAGGCCUGACCAACGGGGCUGCUGGGAGGAUCCCGUGAGCAGAAACACGGACGAUCACAGCAUCACUAUCGAGACGGCUCUGAGGAUCCUGUGAGCAGGACACUGGUGUGUUAUGCUUUAAAGCUUUUCCUUGAUCUUGGUGAUUUCACGUCUUAGGAAACCUCCCUCACUAAUCAGCCGGCCCCGUGGGCAAUGCAGCUUCUCCUGAAAAGCAAACACUUCAACUUUCAGGCUUCGUGGCCACUGACCCGCUUCUGGCCAGGGGCAGCCUCCUCCCUACCCCUCGUGUAACGGACUACGGGACUGGAC
rnacentral:lncRNA from 1 species